GCCUCUAUAGCUUAGUGGUAGAGCACUGGUCUUGUAAACCAGAGGGCGAAAAGUUGGGGACC
rnacentral:tRNA from 1 species